rnacentral:tRNA from 3 species
AGGUACUAUGCCGGAUCAACGGGCUGCAUUGAUGUUGCAGAUCAGGAGAUGUUGAAUUUCUCUGGUGCCUA